UACGAAGGGGGCGAGCGUUGUUCGGAGUUACUGGGCGUAAAGGGCGCGUAGGCGGCGAUCCAAGUUAGGCGUGAAAGCCCCGGGCUUAACCUGGGAAUUGCGCUUAAGACUGGAUUGCUUGAGUGCGGGAGAGGUGAGUGGAAUUCCCAGUGUAGAGGUGAAAUUCAUAGAUAUUGGGAAGAACACCAGUGGCGAAGGCGGCUCACUGGCCCGCAACUGACGCUGAGGCGCGAAAGCGUGGGGAGCAAACAGG
rnacentral:rRNA from 1 species